rnacentral:lncRNA from 1 species
AUUCAGGACACACUACCCGCAAAAUAUGGCACCUUGACAUCUUGAAUAUUUUCAGAUAAAGGAACUCAAGAAAACUGCACAAGUAGGAAGGUCACUGUGACCCUCACGCAGCCUUUCUCCCCUGAAGUAGGUCAUAAAACCUCCAAAGGAUUUUCUGACUCUCCCCAGAAGCAGGUCACAAGACCCUCAUGUGAGAGGUGCCCUCCCUAUACCUGGAGGACAGGAGCGUCCUUCUCUCUGAAGACACGAAAACAGAGAGAAUCUGCACAAGCAGGUCUUGGUAAGUUCCUGCCUGUUUAUUACACUUAGCUCACUCCCCUUUGUCCACAACUUUCCACUCUUCAUCAAACCCACUAUAAAAAAAUGCUCAGGUUCAACUGUUUCUUUGAGUUUUCAAUUACUUUUGAAGGCACCUGAGUGAUAUAAAAUUUAUAUUAAAUAAUGUGUAUGCUUUUCUCUUAGCAAACUGUCUUUUAUUAUAGGGGCCUGAGCUAAUGACCUUAGCAUGGUAGAAAGAAAAUUACUUUCCUCCCCUACACUAUAUAAUUUAAACAAAGUAUUUUUGUCAGAUCUUUUUCUUCACUAAGUGUCUAACUUCUUCCCAUUUCUGGAACUGCUCUGAAACUCUCCCAUUCACAAUCAUGUGGCUGAGAAGAACCAAGAGACAGAAAGGCAUGAUAGAAACAAAACACCUAGUGUGGCCGGGUGUGGUGGCUCAUGCCUAUAAUCCCAGCAUUUUGGGAAGCCAAGGUGGGCCAAUCGCUUGAGUUCAGGAGUUCAAGACCAGCCUGGGAAACAUGGCAAAACUCUGUCUCUAUCAAAAAUACAAAAAAAUUAGCCAGGUGUGGUGGCACGAGCCUGUAGUCCCAGUUACUUUGGAGGCUGAGGUGAGAGGAUCACUUGAGCCUGGGAAGCAGAGGUGGCAGUAAGCCGAGAUUGUGCCACAGCACUCCAGCCUGGGUGACAGAGUAAGACCCUAUCUCCAAACAAAUAAACCAAAAAAACAACCACUUAGUGUUUAUUAACAUAUAGUUCCAUGCAGCUAUAUGCUGCACUCUACUUUUCCUUUGCUUCCUCUCCUCCUGGGUUUGAGGCAGAAGGCAAGCUGGGGAAGAAGGCAGAAGAAAGGAAAUAUAGAGGAGACAAAUACACCUAGAGUGGGCUCACAAGGCGGUAAUCUAUACACCUAGAGUGGGCUUGUAAGGCUGUAAUCUAUACACCUAGAGUGGGCUCCCAAGGCUGUAAUCUAUACACCUAGAGUGGGCUUAUAAGGCUCUAAUCUCUCUCUGUCAUUUCCUUGCUGACGCUGAACUGUGUGUUUCAUGUGACUAGAGAUGAAACAGGAAAGGGAAUGCGUUGGAGCCAUUUUUUAAAACUACAAACUGUUUCUCACUACCCUCUGGGUAAGUAGAAUGUUCUUAAUUCCACUCAUGUUACCUACAAUGGCCGUUCUCUUACAGACAUCAUGUUUUUAGCACGUUAUUCCUAGCAAAAUCCCCAAGGAGUGUAAUAGUAGGUUGCCUAAUUCAUUCUGUUUGAGCAUUAUGAACUCAGAAUCAAUAUUUGAAUUUUUAGAGCUUCCUGUUUUCAGAGUCCUGUGUUCCAGGCAUCUGAUAAGAAUGACUGCAUAAUUGUCCUAACUUCUGUAAUACUUUUGCUCGAGUAUGAUCUCGGUAUACAGACUUAAUGCUUAUGACAGGUCCACAUUAUUUGAGUAAACCGAUUGAAAACCAAGAGCUGAUUGAGAACGUCCCUUAAUCUAGCGGCUGCAUUAUCAAUUUGUGAGCAUGUCCACAUUCUGGUCUUUGAGGGAGAAAAUACAGUAAAAAAAAAAAAAAAAAAAAAUGAGGUCAAGCUGGGAUUUUCUAGCUCAGUGAUUGGCUCUAAAUGAAGGCAUAUGAAUCUUUGCCUUUCGGUUGUGUGGAAAAUCUGCCAGGGGCUAAACUUUGUUGUUAGAUUGGCCUAAGCAAGCAAGACAAGCUAGCUGGGAUGGGAAGGAGAGGGAAGGAAGAAAGAGAAGAAAAACGUGGCUUCCUGUGGUUUUACAAGGGUCACAUCAGCCUCAGGAAGUAGGGACAUUGCGAGCAACUAAACAUAUGCAAAUGAAAUGCAACUUUUCAGAGGGAAUUUGUUAAGUUACUUCAUUAGCACUGAGGCCAAGGGCAGUCCAGAGCUAAUGCAAAGUAGAUCUGACGGUUUCCCUUUGUUUGCGUCGAGGUCUUCAGGGCAGUGGGAGUAAAGGGGUGAAAAGGCGGACAGCCAUGUCCUUGAAAGGGAGCAGAACCUGUAAGGUCUCCCAAGCCCUUUUGGCUUGAAUGCUGGCUUUUGUCUCCCGAGGGCCAUUGCUCUGCUCCCCGAGAGUCCAAGUAAUGAAGCACUUGAUUAAGACCUCAUUAAAAGUUCAUUGACAUUCAUGACUGGAGCCAUCACUGCAGCCCAGAGAGAUGGAGGGAGGAUGGGGCCAGCCUAGAAGCAUAAAACCUGGGUUUAAAUACUCUUUCUGCCACUUCACAGCUUGGUUUUCUUCCUGGUACAUUUUUAAUCUCUCGGUAAUGCCACUUUUCUCAUCUCUAAAUAACUCCAGUUCUGUGCCACUGUGAGAACGCGCUUUGAAAGCCUUAGUAUUUUGUGUGUCCUUAUUCUUUUUUUUUUUUUUUUUUUUUUUUUUUGAGACAGAGUCUCGCUCUGUCACCCAGGCUGCAGUGCAGUGGCGCAAUCUCGGCUCACGGCAAGCUCCACCUACCGGGUUCAUGCCAUUUCCUGCCUCAGCCUCCGAAGUAGCUGGGACUACAGGCGCCCGCCACCACGCCCGGCUAAUUUUUUUUCUAUUUUUUUUUUUUUUUUAGUAGAGACGGGGUUUCACCGUUAGCCAGGAUGGUCUCAAUCUCCUGACCUCGUGAUCCGCCCACCUCGGCCUCCCAAAGUGCUGGGAUUACAGGCGUGAGCCACCACGUCCGGCCUGUGUGUCCUUAUUCUUGUUUUCCACCCCUUUGCUGUCUUCAUCUGGUUGUUUCAGGCUCUUUAGGACCUGCUGAGGACAUGUAUUUCUUGCAUCACAGCGCUGUGAAGCACCCUGAGACUGCACAGGCCUCUGAGAAAUACAGACAGGUUAUAGGGAAAAACAAGAAGCUCUAGCCUCUGGCAGAUGUCCAUGCAACCCACCCAAGCCCCACAAAGGAAACAGUGCAAGCAGCUGAGAAUAUCUCUAGACUGUUGAUCAGACCUUGCCCAACCGACAUUCACAGGCAUACAGAUAGCCAGGUGUGCCCCUUUGCACAAAUUCGAGUCCUUCCAUGAGAUCCAGGAACCAAGCACAGCAGCAAAUCCUAAAGUGUUCCACAAAACACUCAUUCUUCCAGACUGUUGGCGUUCUACCAUUGACGGAGGGUGGAGCUGAAAAUUCUGGGCAGCUUUCCUCCAACGAGCCCAAGAAUCUGAAAGGCCACCCUGACACCCACGUACUACUCACCAGACACAGCCAGCGUCACUGGACAGCCACAAGUUUUGUUUUUGUUUGGUUUUUGAAUUCAGAGCUUCUGUUUGAGGCUUAGAGUUUCCAAGAUGGAGCAGGGACCCCUCUUAGGGGCCUACGGGGCCCCCUAAGCAUAAAGGAAAAUCUUGAGUUCCUUCCAAAGAAAUUCCAGGUACCUAACUAGCCCUAAGAAGUAAAUGAACAACUUGAUAAGCAAGAAAGUAACAGUGGUCUACAACAAUAGCCAAAAGCCCUGACCCCGACCAAAGGUUCCCCUGGCACAUCCACCUGAGAUAAAGAGCUGAGGACUGAAUUCUGAUGACCAUUCUUUGUUCUAAAUUCCUUCCUCAGAGGCCUGGAGCAAGUCACAUCCCCAGGCCAGACCUUAACAUUCCUUCCUGCUAACCCCAAGUUUUUAGACAAAGCUUCACUUCCUUAACCAGUCAGGAAUCAGAGUCUUCCUCCCGCUGCAGAGAACCUUGGUGUGAAAGUUCUGCUUUAUUGUGCCGGGUGAGCGGACCCCAGGUUAGUUCGGUGACAGAACUGAACAUCCACAAGUUUUGUUUUGGUUUGGUUUGGUUUGGGGGCUUUCACCUUCUCUUUGAGGCUUGUACUUUCCAAGGCCAUACCCUAGGAAGCCAGAAAAUGACUCCAUCCACUCCAGACCCUCCUUCAGGUUCUCUGAAGAUUCUAUAAGAAUUUCCAUUCUCCUAACAUCACCUCCAACCUCAAGUAACCUCUCAUUCUUCCUUUUUUGCCUAGAGUUGGUAUCUUCCCUUGUUCUGGGCAAGGGAAAGAAUCUUUUCCUCCCAAUAUUAUUGAGGUAUAAUUGACAAAUAGAAAUUGUAUAUAUUUAUGGUGUGGCACGUGAUGAAAUACGUAUACAUUGUAAAAUGGCUACCACAAUCAAGGUAAUUUACACAUCCAUAGCCUUACAUAGUUACUGUGUGUGUAUGUGUGUGUCUGUGUGUGUGUGUGUCUCUGUGUGUGUGUGUUAAAAACACUUAAGAUAACUCUGUAAAUUUGAAGUCUGUAAUACUUGAAAUUCUGGGCUAUUGUUGUCAUGCUGUUAGUUAGAGUUCCAGAAGUUAUUUAUCUUAUACCAGAAAGUUUAUAUCCUUCUUACUUUAUCAAAGAUUCUUAUUUCAUCCCAAAUUCUUCCUAUGCUCUGGUAGAUGGUAUAAACUUCAUAUCUGAUUCCUCCACUUAAAGCCAAGUUUCUGAAAUAGUGAAGCUUUUUUAUCUCUUGCAGAAUAGCCAUACCUUUUUAAAUUUUGGUUAUAGAUUUAUAAAGCUCUGCUUCAGAGCUCAAAAAUCAUUGGAGCAAGUUUUUGUUCUCGCUGAUUUUUCCCUAGCCAGAGGCAAUAUUUAUAGAGCCUCCCAAUGGCUACGUGGCUGUUUAGGGGUGACGAUAGUGGCAGUAGCUGGUGACAAAGAUUUUUGGCUUGGCCAAACUUUAGUCAGGCUCCUGAACCUUCUUCGAGGGCCAUCUGUGUACUUCCAUGUAAGAUUCAGUCAUGGCAAAGAACUCUGCUAAGUCAGUUUAACAAGAAGCCCUCAUCCUCAAUAUCUGAUCACCCUCAAUAUCUGAUCAGAUUCCUCAUCCUCCACUAACACCUAGGUGAUAUCAGGUCACCUUGGUCUGUGUUGAGCAAAAAUGCUCUUAGUUUAGUUUGUCCAGAAUCCCCCUUCCCCCUGAUGUUCCUAUUAGUAACUUUCUUUCUUUUUUUUUUUUCUGAGACGGAGUCUUGCUCUGGAGUGCAGUGGCCCGAUCUCAGCUCACUGCAAGCUCCACCUCCCAGGUCCACGCCAUUCUCCUGCCUCAGCCUCCUGAGUAGCUGGGACCACAGGCGCCUGCCACCACGCCCGGCCAAUUUUUUUGUAUUUUUAGUAGAGACGGGGUUUCACCGUGUUAGCCAGGAUGGUCUCGAUCUCCUGACCUCAUGAUCCGCCCACCUCGGCCUCCCAAAGUGCUGGAAUUACAGGCGUGAGCCACCGCGCCCGACCUCCUCUUAGUAACUUUCUACCCACUGACUCUACUCCUUGGCUGUAAAUCCCACUUGCCCAUGCUGUAUUUGGAGUUGAGCCCACUUUCUCUCCACCACUGCAAAAUUCCACUGUUGUGGUCCCUAUUUCUAUUGCAAUGUUCCUGAAUAAAGCCUUCCUUGCUGUGCUUUUACAGUAUUAUUGAGUAAUCUGGUUUUCUUUUAUACUGGAGAAAGAGGGAUUAGAGGUAAGUGGAAUUGGUAUCUAUUGGUUAAAGCCAAGAAAUUAACACUGUUCAUUCUUCUCCUCCCAAAUUCAAAAUGAAAAGAAAAAAAAGACAUAAGUGUCAAAUGGAGAUAAAUAUUAGCUUGAUUAUUGAUAAAAGUGGGAUUGAAUGACAGAGCCUAGAGGUACAACCACAUGGACUUGCUAAUUCUUUGCCCUGGGGAUCAAGCAUUUUCUCCUCUGGUCACCGGUCCAGCCUGAAGCCUAUGGGCCUUCCCAGGUGCAAUGCUCCAUGGAGAAGCAAAGGAAACUUACACCCUGAGGAGAGGCCAGUUCCAAAAGAGAUCCAGCAGGCCUGGCAUCCACUUUGACACUUACCAGUUAAGCAUGUCAUCAGGGAGAGAAGGUAAAAUAAGGGUCUAAGGAAAACCAAACAGAGAUUGUUAGCAGAGGUUGGGAAGGGUAGCAGGGAGCAGGAGAUAAAGUCAGGAUGGUUAAUGGGUACAAAAACACAGACACAAUGAAUAAAAUCUAGAAUUUGGUAGCACAAUAGGAUUACUGUAGUUAUCGAUAAUUUAUCCUAUAUUUUCAAAUACCUUAAAGAGUGGAAUUGGAAUGAUCCUAACCCAAGAUAAAGGUUUGAGGUGAUGGAUACCCCAAUUUCCUUGAUGUGAUGAUUACUUAUUGCAUGCCUGUAUCAAAACAUCUUAUGUACCCCGUAAAUAUAUAUAACUAUUAUGUA